UCUGUUUCUCCUUCCCGUUUCUCCUUCCCCUUCUGUUUCUCCUUCCCGUUUCUCCUUCCCCUUCUGUUUCUCCUUCCCCUUAUUUCUCGUCUUUCUCGCCUUUUUGGGGUAAUUCAGAUCCGUAUUUUUUUGGGGUACGAAUUGCGGAAAGGAGGAGGCGAAAUACGAGGCAAGAGGUUAAGUUAAGUUAUUUUUUGUCUUUAAUAUUUCAUUCGGUUAUUAGAUUUUGUCAAAUAAUUUUACAGUUUUUUUGGUCAAAAUUGGGAAAAAUCGAACAAAAAAACCCUAAAUUUUGAAUUUGGGAGUUUUCAAUUCGGUCCAUUAUUCUUGAAAUUGUUUGUUCCAUGUUGUUAUGCUAUGUUUAAGGAGUGUUUUGCAACAAAAUUCAUGAAAAAUGGUUAAGUAUUAAACCUUGUAUGAGCAUGUCUUUGUUCGAUUUCGUUCUUUGUAUAAAUGGUUAGGUUUGUUUGUUAUUGUGGGCUGUUUGUUGAAACCAUUAUGAUUCAGGGAAUCCUAAAAGGUUUUGACCAGGCAACAAAUAUUAUUCUUGAUGAAUCGCAUGAGAGGGUUUUUUCUACCAAGUCAUCAUGAAGUUUUUCUAUGUCUCAAGUCAAAACAGACCUACUUCGUAUAACAGGUGAGAAAAAUUUUCUCUUUUCUUUUGUCUAAAAUGUUUUCUUAGUUCAUGAUAUUUGCUUUUGUUUGUGUGCUUUUUGUUAGGAGUGGAAUGAUAAUGCUAAUUUUUGUUUGAAAUAUUGGUGUAAUUAUUUGUGGUCAACUCUAAUGAUGAGGUUGUUAGCUUAGGGUACUGCUUUUAGUAUAACUUUCACUUAAAUGAUCUUGUUACUUUUAUAAUGUAUAUGUUGAUGAUGACGACGACAACAACUUUUUAUGGAUUUCGUGUAGGCCGAUAAUUUUGUGGCCUGUAAACUUAUCCUUGAUUUUCCAAGAGGAUGUUUACUUCAGAGAUUUGUGGUUGUUUUGACGGUUAUGGUGCCACUUUUAAUGUGACACUUACUUGAAUGUUCUUGUUACUUUAUAUGUUUGACUAUUUGCAAUUAGGCAUAGCUUGGACUAUAAACUUAAAAAUGGCUUUUUUUUACAGUUGAUUUGCACUUGAACUAAUCCAAGGUUGAUGGAAAGUCUUUUAUGAUUGAUCUCUGAAUGUGGGAAUGCAAUGGCUUGCCUUUAUUUGUUUAGCUAAGUGUGGAGUGUGUGAGUACAUCUCAUUAAGGUGAUUCUGCAUGAAGUUGAGGUUUAUUAAUUACGCAAUAAGUGUAGAGAAGUGUUAGUACUUGUUCUAGGAAUGCCAAAGUUGGUUGUUCAUAAUUUAAGAAGUUUUAAAGUUAGAAAAGAAAAAAAAUUGUUUUCCUGAAGGAACUUUAGAUUACACGAGGAUAAAUAAAAUUCAGGAUCUUAAUUUGUACUCUAAAGUUGUUGCUCCCUUAGUUAAUGAUGAUGCAGAUACCCCAAGACAUACAUUAUUGUCACUAUAUUGGCGCACAUGUCAUGGUUGUCUUGUUGAAAGAUUAAGGGCUUAUCAGAAGAUAGGUAAUGAAAAUCUCUCUAUACUUUAUAAGCUUAAGUAAAGAAAUCUUGCUGUGGUGGAAGUGUGGUAGCUCGCUCAAUUGAUACAUUGGCAGUAACGGAGCUUGGUUUGUAGAGUGUUGCAGCUCAUAGGAGAAUUAGCACAAUUUGGAGUGCUUCCUGCUUGGCCAGUAGUCACCUGAAUAAUUUAUUGUAUAAAGGCAAUACAUAAUUACAUAUGAUGAUUUGAAUGUUAAGGGAAGCCAUUCUGUAUCAUAGGGGAGAGCUGGGAGUUCAAAUUUUGAUAGAAUUUUCAAUCAUUGCGUUGAUAGUAUAUAUCUGUGUAACACAAAGGAGCCCUUUUUAAAGCAGAUUCAGAUUGUAUAGCAUUGUAGGCAUUUAUGUUUCUUGUAUUCAUUCCUCCCUCCCCCCACCCCGUUGUUACACAACUCCGUUGUUUCAAGCUUCGUAAACUUUUUAUCUACUCUGUUCACUAUGUCUGCUACUAUCUAAUAUACAGUAGCUGCUUGUUUAGAAUUUUGAGUCUAAUAGAUCAUUUUUCUCUAUUAACUAAGAUCAGUCUUGUGGUUUGGGAUCUUUGGAUCCAUACAUGGGGUGCGAGUUGUGUGUUUGCAUUGGUGAAGUCAGGUCCUGGUUCGAAUGAGGGGAAAAUUGACCCUCCUCCGGUGACGAUUUCUGAACCCUUAUCUUUAUUGAUUAUUUUUUGGUUGCAUUGAGAAGGAGGUUUGUAUGUACUUGAUUGGUUUCCAGUAACAUUAGUUGCUGGCCAGGGGGUGUGUGAAUUUUGUUGUUGGUAUUUGAUUUGCUAGACUAAUUUGUUGUGCUUGAUUUGGUUGCCAAUAACAUGCUUUGUGAGUACAUGCUUUGUGACUCCCUGUUGGGGUUGUGGUGGUUUAUUUUGCGAUAUAGUGAGUCCCUUUGUCGUGGUCUGAUUUUGCAAUAUAGAGUCCCUAAGAUCUCAUUGAUUUAAUUUGAGAGAUCAUUCUUGUUACUAAAUCUAAAUGAUGAAGGGACUCAGCUGAUUUUGAAAUGACCUGUUUGAUUUGCUCCAAUUAUAACAUUGUUGAGGUAACAAACAGGAUUUCAUUUCUUGUGAUCAAAUUACAAUCUCUCUGAUGGAUUUAAGAUGUCACUCAUGAUUGGUUCAAUGUGUACACAAACCUCAAGCUACUGCUGCCCUACUUUCUGUCUGGUACGCAGAGGAUUUGUUUGAGCUCUGGCUUUCGGGUUUGCUGCUGUUACUGCUAUCCCUGCUGCUGCUGUCCCUGCUUUUCUUUGCCUGCUGAUGCUGUCUGCCUGCUGCUGCUGCUGAUUCUGGAGGUUUCUGCCCUGCUGCUGUUAUUCUUUCUUUUUUUCCUGGUUUGUUGCUAUUUGUAACCUCCAAGUUUGGAGGGGUUUGUAUUUUUUUCACGUAGCGUAUUUAUUUGUGUAUGAGGACACGGUGCGGCUGUACUUUAUGAGGGCUUGCCCUUUUUUCUUUUAGUAAUAAUAUCCCUUUCUUACCUACCAAAAAAAAAAAAA